rnacentral:lncRNA from 1 species
GUUUUAUAUCUCGUCUCUACAGUGACUUCUGAUGCUUGAAAAGAUUCAAGUAUGGUAUAAACCUCUCUUAAAUGAAUCUCAACAAUCUUAUUAUUAUCUCCUAACCCAAUAGAUGUAAUCAAUUCCAAUGAAUCUUCCAGUCCAUUUUCUUCAUAAACACCUAAAAUCCUCUCAUCAUCUUGCAAUGUACCUAACUUGCGUAAUUUUCCUUCAAUAUUAUAUAAUCUUUUUCUUUCUUUUCUUUUAAAAUCAUCAACUUUCUUAUACAUAAUAUUUCCAUUCUCCAAAAUACCAAUAAAACUUGCAUCAAAGGUACCUUCAUCUAGUGAGAGUACUUUCUCUUUUGUACCUCCAUAAUCUUACUUUAUAGUGGUACCUCUCCAAAAUCCUUAAAUCCUUCAACAAUCCUUGGCAAU